rnacentral:rRNA from 1 species
CCGCGCGCGGCGGGCGGGGCGGGGGCACGGGGGGCCUACGGGAGGCAGCAGUGGGGAAUCUUGCGCAAUGGGCGAAAGCCUGACGCAGCGACGCCGCGUGAGUGAUGAAGGCCUUCGGGUUGUAAAGCUCUGUGGAGGGGGACGAAUAAGGGUUGGCUAACAUCCAGCUCGAUGACGGUACCCCUUUAGCAAGCACCGGCUAACUCUGUGCCAGCAGCCGCGGUAAUAAU